UGGAGGCCUUUUGUGAAGUCAGCCAAUUCUCAGCUGCUUCUCAGGGUGCGGCCCCCAGGUCGCCUGCGUCACCAUGGGGCGGAGGACUCAUUUCAGAUGUGAACUCCCCGGCCCACCCUACCGAAUCGGAAAUCCAGGGAGCCCAUAGUCACAGGCCUCGAGGUUGUUCUGCAAGUAGAGAUCUAAGAAACCUCGAAAGGCCUUUGGAUCAAUGAAGAGGGAUGAUACUGCAGGAUCUUUCAUCAUGGCUUCCAUCCAGAGCUUAAGAUUUGGAGUGUGGUCUACAUAUCUGUGGGAGAUGGAAAGAAUGAAGGUGUGAGCAAGGCUAAGUACGAAGGACUGGGCUUCCCUGGUGGUGCAGUGGUUAAGAAUC